CCUACGGGGGGCAGCAGUGGGGAAUAUUGCACAAUGGGCGAAAGCCUGAUGCAGCAACGCCGCGUGAAGGAAGACGGUUUUCGGAUUGUAAACUUCUGUUCUUAGUGAAGAAUAAUGACGGUAACUAAGGAGCCAGCCACGGCUAACUACGUGCCAGCAGCCGCGGUAAUACGUAGGUGGCAAGCGUUGUCCGGAAUUACUGGGUGUAAAGGGAGCGUAGGCGGGAAGCCAAGUCAGCUGUGAAAACUACGGGCUUAACCUGUAGACUGCAGUUGAAACUGGCUUUCUUGAGUGAAGUAGAGGUGGGCGGAAUGCCGGGUGUAGCGGUGAAAUGCGUAGAUAUUCGGAGGAACACCGAUUGCGAAGGCAGCUUACCAAGCUACGUCUGACGUUGAGGCACGAAAGCGUGGGGAGCAAACAGGAUUAGAUACCCGUGUAGUC
rnacentral:rRNA from 1 species